AUUUUUUAUCUGAAAAUUAGGGUUAUUAUUUUUUGAAAAAUGGAACAAAUUUAUUUUGCGAAGAUUUGAUGAUUGAUUGAAGUUAUUUUCAGUGGGUUUUUUGGGUCUGAAUUUUUUAUCUGAAAAUUAGGGUUAUUAUUUUUUGAAAAAUGGAACAAAUUUAUUUUGCGAAGAUUUGAUGAUUGAUUGAAGUUAUUUUCAGUGGGUUUUUUGGGUCUGAAUUUUUUAACCGAGAAUUAGGGUUAUUAUUUGUUGAAUUUUUUUUAACAUUUUUAGAUGGUUUAGGUUUUCUGCUAGUGAUGUGAGACGUGGUGCAAAUUCAUGAUUCUUUAGCUUCUACUCUGUCGAUUACACCAGCAAUCUUUGGUUUAAAUUUUUUACAAUCAGUCUUUUUUUCCCGAUUGCAGAUAAUUUGGUGUCAGUCGCGGUUGACUAGCCGCCGCUGGUGGGGCUGAAGCGGAGCAAAAGUAGCAUGAGUGGACACCGACAACAGAAAUCUGAUCGAUAACUUCGAUUUCCUUGUUAUUGUGCCACGGGUACUCGAGGUUUUCUAUGUUGAAAUACGAUGAUGAUACAAGUCAUGAGAGAAUUUCCCUUCACCCGAAGAUUCCCAGCAGGAAGUCCUCUCAGAAAAAAAGAAAAGAAAAAGGAGCUGAAAUAUUGUACAGUGAGGGCAUGUUCGUUUGUUAGGCAAUGCAGACCAAAUAUUAUUAAUGUUGUAGCAAUAUACAUUUCCUAUGGCUGGGAACUACAUUUGCAAUCUGUAGAGAUAUUUCUUUCCGCAUGCAAAGUAAAAGAUACUUUCAUCUGGACUAAGUGCUAAAACUUUCAACGGUUGUGCUACAUGUAUAUCAAAAUUAACAGAUUUGUUCAUCAAUAGAUGAUUUUAAAUCUCA